ACUGCAUUUUUGUAUAUAUAGUUGGGAUUAUUGUAUUUAUCAACACUGAAUUUCAUCUGCUGUUUUGUGGGAGCCCUUUAACUUUUUGUAUUCUGCUUUUGACUUGACUAUCUUGAGUAUCAUGUAAACUUUGCCACCUUACUGUUUACUCCCUUUUCCAGAUCAUUUAUGAAUAUGCUGAACAGUAUAGAUCCUUUAGGACCCUGCUAUUUACUUCUUUCCAUUGUGAAAACUGUUGGUUUUACUCCUGCCCUUUGUUCCCUAGCUAUCCUCUCCAAUUACUGAUCCAUAAGGACCUCUAUUCCAUGACUACUUGAUAUUGCUUUAGAGCCUUUGAGGUGGGACCUCACUGAAAGUCCAAGUACACUGGAUUACCCUUAUCCACAUGCUUGUUGAGACCCUCAAAGAAUUCUAAUGGAACUUGCUCAAUAUCAAAGUAAGCAAACUCUACAGUAACAUCGCAAACUGGUUUCUGUUUUCACACUCAGAACUCUCAGCCCAAAAGGUCAAAGAAACAAGUCACCCUCUCAUCAUUACAGGUUCCUCAAAAACAGGGUUAAAGCAUGUUGGCGAGGCAAAGAAACGUGCACUGCUGAGUGACAGGAUGUAUCAACCCUGCACGGGGCCAACGGGGGCUGACCAAUCAUUGUGGGCCCAGGAAAUGACACCCCCGCACUCCUACUGCACAUGGUCCAGGUGGAGGGGACAGAUAAAAGGAGGCCGCUCAGCUCAGUCGGUGCUGGUGGAAGAGGAGGAAGGAUGUGUGCUGCAGGCUCCUGGAGAGGAACCAUCAACUCUCCGUGGAUCUGGACUAUGCUGUGGAUGACCAGCUGACUGCAGAGAUGCCGAGCUGCUGCCAGCUGAGGAGAUGCCCGAAAUGGGCUUUAUGGUAGGAAGUCACCCAGGGAAUCUGUUAGGACAGAGGUGGGCAAACUACGGCCUGCAGGCCACAUCCGGUGAACUAGGGUAGGUGUGGGUCCCCCUGCCCCACACUUGCCACUAGAUGUGACUACUCGGGUCUCCUGAUAUAAACUGAGUGUUUGCUCUGCCUCGCCCCAGGGGCUACAGACUGAUUGAUUGUUCUGCCCCAACAGGGAAUCCCGACAACCAUGUGACUGGGUGUGUCAACCCCACACUGAGCAAACAGGGACAGCUGCCAAUCAACAUGCCAAGCCCUCGUGACAUGCUGUGUGCCACCAGUUCUGUUACUUACUAUCAAAAUAUACCACCACCUAAAGCAGUGUUUCCUCAACCCGUGGGUCGGGAUACCAGAAUGUUUCAAAGGGUUGUGUGGCAGCUCCUGUCCCAUGGGGCUGGCAGGGCUCACCACCCUGCUCCAGGCACUACAGCCUCUGGGGUCCCAGUGCCACUCAGAUUUGGUCCAGCCAUCAUGAUGACGGGAGUCUGAGGAGGCCAUAUUUGAGCGAGUGGCACUGAAACCCCAUGAGCCAGGUCACAACUCUACUCAUAGAAAUUUGGUCCAUUCAGGGGGGUGUGGUUGAACCUGAGUGGUGCUGCAACCCCAGAGGUUGCAAUGCCUAGAGCGCAGAGCCAAGCCCAGCCAGACCCACAGCAGCUGUAGGAGCUGCCACCGUGGGGUGAGUGCCAGGCAGGACCCAACCCUCCUCCCCCAGGGUGCGGGAUCCAACUUAAGCCACCCUAGCCAUAAACAUUUACAAAUGGGUCCUGAGCCCAAAAAGGUUGAGAACCACUGGCCUUGAGGUCCCAACCAAGAUCAGAUCCUCAUUCUGCUAAGCAGUGCAUAUACAUGUAGUAAACAGCGACAAUCUACAACCUAAGUUGAUAAGACAAAGAAAAUAUUAUCCCCAUUUUACAGACUGCAAAGUGUGGCAUAGAGAUUAAGGUUUUGUCUACACAAUUUGCACUGGUAUAACUGAGGAAGUAUGUUUAAACCCACAUAGUUAAAUCAGUACAUGUUAAGCUUGCCUUUGCAUUAAGCAAAAAGAAAAGGAGUACUUAUGGCACCUUAGAGACUAACAAAUUUAUUUGAGCAUAAGCUUUCGUGAGCUACAGCUCACUUCAUCGGAUGCAUGCAGCGGAAAAUACAGUGGGGAGUUUUAUAUACCCAGAGAACAAGAAACAAUGGGUGUUAGUGUGUAUGGUAACAAGAGUGAUCAGGUAAGGUGAGCUAUUACCAGCAGGAGAGUGGGGGGCGGACACGACACGACGACGACACACCUUUCGUAGUGAUAAUCAAGGUGGGCUCCCCACUGUAUUUUCCACUGCACGCAUCCAAUGAAGUGAGCUGUAGCUCACGAAAGCUUGUGCUCAAAUAAAUUUGUCUGUCUCUAAGGUGCCACAAGUACUCCUUUUCUUUUUCCAGAUACAGACUAACACGGCUGCUACUCUGAAACUUUGCAUUAAGUAGUUUCUCCAACAUUACACAUGAACUCUGGAUUCAUUUUCUGCCACAGAUCUCCCAAGUCCCAGUUCAGUGCCUUAACCACAGACCAUCCUUCUUCAUGUUGGCAGAUCACAGAAUGUUAGUCUCCACAAGCUGUCAAAUUUUUAUAACAGUACUACAUCAGUUAGAACGACUCUGUAUGUUUUUGAAGGAUUGUUUUAACAUGAAGUGAUCUUUUCUACCAUCAAAGCUGCACACACUGUGUAAAGGGGGCUCAUCAGAUAUCAUUUCACAAUUUUUAAAGACACACUUUCACUUUGACAGAGUUUAACUUGUCACUCUUUCAAUAAGGAAAUCAACUUUGCAUGAGGAUAUUCAAAACAGACAUAGUUAAACUCCCUCCCCCACCCCAGAUAAAUGUACCCAUCUUUAAGGGAGAUAAGUUUAACAAAAACAUGAAUUAUCUGAAUCUUCCGCGGAGGAAAAUACCCUAUUUAGAUGUUCAAGAACACAAAUUAUAGUUCAUAAAAGUUAUACACUCAUGCCAGGGGGUGCUCAGAUGAUCAUUUCUCCCAGGAAUAUCAACAGGUACAUAAAUUAAUUCUGUCUUACCCAGAACAGCUGAUCAACAUCAUCAUCAAUGCUUCUGCAGAAAAUUCAGAACAUCCAGAGAGAUUUAAUCGCACCAAACUGGAAUUCUGAGCGAUGCUUCUGUAAAGACCAUAGAUGGAGUGUCACAAUGCUUUCACAUCUCUCCUGGGGCAAGUAGUACAAGAACAGGGCCCCGCAGCUCAGUUAAGAGUCAGACCAGGGAAGGAGCAAGACGUCCGUCCCACUGUGGCAGGCGAUGACCCUCCAGAGCCAGCUUGGAGGGAAGGAAACUGCUACCCCGGAAGACUGAGAAACCCAAAGAGGGAGUGGAGAGCAGGCCGUCUGACAAGGAGAGGGGGAACCAGGCCCCGGUGGCCAUGGAGCAGCCCCACCAGAUGCUGGUAGGAAGAACCCCAAGGUGUUGGAUCAUAUUAAAGAAGUUCUGUAUUAAAAUCACAAAUGAAUUUGAUUCCCCAUAGUUUAAAUUCCAGGAUAUUACUAAUUAAGAGGUCUCUUGGUUUUUGGUACUGUUUC